rnacentral:rRNA from 1 species
AUGCGGGAGGACGAGUUGUUGUGCGAUGCAUGGUUGGCCACUAGCCUCGAUCUGAUCCAUGGCACGGAGCAAAAGGGCACAACAUUUUGGAACAACAUUCACAUUUGGUUCCACGAACACAAGCAUUUCACCCCUUGCUCCUACGCGGUCAUCCACAACCAUGAAUCGAAGUCCCUCAACCAUCGAUGGCACACCAUACAAGAGGUUGUGUCCAAGUAUUGCAGGCACUUGAAGCAUCUCAUCGCACAGUGGCCUAGCGGUGCACAAAUCACCAAGCAAGUAAGUUGA